rnacentral:rRNA from 1 species
GACGAACGCUGGCGGCAUGCCUAAUACAUGCAAGUCGGACGGAUAUGUUUAAAAGACAUAUCAGUGGCGAACGGGUGAGUAACACGUAAGUGACCUACCUGUACGACGAGGAUAACUACUGGAAACGGUAGCUAAUACUGGAUAGGAUAUAUACCAUAAGGGUAUAUAUUUAAAGGUCCUAAGGGACCGCGUACAGAAGGGCUUGCGGCGCAUUAGCUAGUUGGUGGGGUAAAGGCCUACCAAGGCGACGAUGCGUAGCCGACCUGAGAGGGUGACCGGCCACACUGGGACUGAGAGACGGCCCAGACUCCUACGGGAGGCAGCAGUAGGGAAUCUUCGGCAAUGGACGGAAGUCUGACCGAGCGAUGCCGCGUGAGCGAAGAAGGUCUUCGGAUUGUAAAGCUCUGUGAUUAGGGAAGAAGGCUAUUAGGAGGGAAUGCCUAAUAGGUGACGGUACCUAAUUAGAAAGCCACGGCUAACUACGUGCCAGCAGCCGCGGUAAUACGUAGGUGGCGAGCGUUGUCCGGAAUUACUGGGCGUAAAGGGUGCGUAGGCGGUCCAUUAAGUCUGAUUUGAAAUACCAUGGCUCAACCAUGGGGGUGGAUUGGAAACUGGUGGACUUGAGCGUAGGAGAGGAAGGUGGAAUUCCAUGUGUAGCGGUGAAAUGCGUAGAGAUGUGGAGGAACACCAGUGGCGAAGGCGGCCUUCUGGCCUAUCGCUGACGCUGAGGCACGAAAGCGUGGGGAGCAAACAGGAUUAGAUACCCUGGUAGUCCACGCCGUAAACGAUGAGUACUAAGUGUCGGGGGUUAACUCUCGGUGCUGAAGUAAACACAUUAAGUACUCCGCCUGGGGAGUACGGUCGCAAGACUGA